rnacentral:lncRNA from 1 species
GUAAAAGCUAGAGGAAACGAAGGAAGAAGAGAAGAAUCAUGCUGAGAUUGUGAGUGUUAUAUGUUGAUUUAGUAUUUUAAUCAUACAUAUAACCAAAUGUUGUAUUAUAAUAUAAGAAACCAAGGUUUGAAUAAUAUUUUCGUGGUCAUGACAGCCAGAAGUGGAGAAUGUACUCACAAUUCAUGCACUUCCAAAUUGCCUACACUAUUUUCCUCCUUAAUUUUGUGCAUAUCUGUGGGGAUGUCAUUCGUAUCCGGCCUAAGUUCGGUCUACUCUACAUCCUUUUUAUUUUAAUCGAAGUGCUACUAAAACAUCUUUGUCCAUCCGACAAGAUUCUUUGCAGCUUUGUCGAAUUUUUAAGCCAUUUUAGUGGAGCUAUCACUAUCGGGCUGGUGAGCUCAUGUUGUAAUGUCUUAUUUUAUUGUGUUGGUAUACCUUGGGUUUUGUUUGCCUUCAUACUCUUUGAAUGUCUUGUUACUGAAGACUGAAGAACCUAAGACGCAUACAGGCUCUUCAAGAGGGAAAUUUUAAACCAUUUGCUUGUGAAUCGUGUUACAUAUCUUCGUUUUUAGCAUAUUUUAUAAGCUUUAUAGUUUGUCUUUCUUGGACUACCAUGGCUUUCCUAGUCUAUUAUAUAUCUAUGUGUUAUAUGAAUCUCAUGGUGGAUUGAUAUUAUUAAAUGAAUAAUGUUUUCUGUAAGCUCUUUAUUUCA